AUCACAGUCACAUUAUACGAUGCUAGCAUUACAUAUCAGUGAUCCCUUUAACACUCCUGCCAGAGGUUACCAUGUUUAACGGUCUGACAUUCUUAGUCCCAAGCCUUGAAGCAAGAGUAAAUAUGUGAUAGAAAGCGUUGCCAUGAGCCAUAGAGCUGACGUUGUUCUGCUUCUUGGUUUUGGCAGGAUGCUGACGUUCAAAGCCGUUGCUCAGGUUUUCAUUCUGGGCUCUUCUUGGGGCCUUGGCUUCUUUCUGGUGGAAGGAGUGCUGGACCCUGUCAGGUUGGUGAUGACCUUCGCCAUCAUCAGCAUCCUCCAGGGCGUCCAUGUCUACUUGGUCCACUGCCUUCUGAAUCACAAGAAGCAGGCAAAGGGAGCUGACCACGGAAUGGAGCAGUGAGGGUGAGGAAUACAGAAUACUGGUCGUGUCUGUGGGCCACCCAGUGACUCCUGAGUGGACUUCUUGAUGGUUUCCACAACACAAAAUCUGGACUUCCAAGAAGGCUCUCUCAUACAUGGGUGGUUGUCUAAGUCCGUGUUUUCCAAGGUCUCCUGGACCAUGGCUAAAAGGGACUGCAGCAAGUUAAUGGGCCACUGCAAGGACCACAGCUGGGACCACGGUAUGUCUGUCUGUUACCCAAUGCAAAGACACAGAGCAUGAGCAGGGGAGGGGCAGAGAGAGAGG